CGCUGGCGGCGUGCUUAACACAUGCAAGUCGAACGGAAAGGCCCUUCGGGGUACUCGAGUGGCGAACGGGUGAGUAACACGUGGGUGAUCUGCCCUGCACUUUGGGAUAAGCCUGGGAAACUGGGUCUAAUACCGAAUACACCUCGCUGGCCGCAUGGUCUGGUGGGGGAAAGCUUUUGCGGUGUGGGAUGGGCCCGCGGCCUAUCAGCUUGUUGGUGGGGUGAUGGCCUACCAAGGCGACGACGGGUAGCCGGCCUGAGAGGGUGACCGGCCACACUGGGACUGAGAUACGGCCCAGACUCCUACGGGAGGCAGCAGUGGGGAAUAUUGCACAAUGGGCGCAAGCCUGAUGCAGCGACGCCGCGUGGGGGAUGACGGCCUUCGGGUUGUAAACCCCUUUCAGCACAGACGAAGCGCGAGUGACGGUAUGUGCAGAAGAAGGACCGGCCAACUACGUGCCAGCAGCCGCGGUAAUACGUAGGGUCCGAGCGUUGUCCGGAAUUACUGGGCGUAAAGAGCUCGUAGGUGGUUUGUCGCGUUGUUCGUGAAAACUCACAGCUCAACUGUGGGCGUGCGGGCGAUACGGGCAGACUAGAGUACUGCAGGGGAGACUGGAAUUCUCUGGUGUAGCGGUGGAAUGCGCAGAUAUCAGGAGGAACACCGGUGGCGAAGGCGGGUCUCUGGGCAGUAACUGACGCUGAGGAGCGAAAGCGUGGGGAGCGAACAGGAUUAGAUACCCUGGUAGUCCACGCCGUAAACGGUGGGUACUAGGUGUGGGUUUCCUUCCUUGGGAUCCGUGCCGUAGCUAACGCAUUAAGUACCCCGCCUGGGGAGUACGGCCGCAAGGCUAAAACUCAAAGAAAUUGACGGGGGCCCGCACAAGCGGCGGAGCAUGUGGAUUAAUUCGAUGCAACGCGAAGAACCUUACCUGGGUUUGACAUGCACAGGACGUGCCUAGAGAUAGGUAUCCCUGUGGCCG
rnacentral:rRNA from 1 species